rnacentral:rRNA from 1 species
GACGAACCGUGCGAACGUUGUUCGGAAUCACUGGGCGUAAAGAGCGCGCAGGCGGUCGUUCAAGUCGAGUGUGAAAGCCCCCGGCUCAACUGGGGAGGGUCACUCGAUACUGAUCGACUCGAAGGCAGGAGAGGGAAGUGGAAUUCCCGGUGUAGUGGUGAAAUGCGUAGAUAUCGGGAGGAACACCAGUGGCGAAGGCGACUUCCUGGCCUGUUCUUGACGCUGAGGCGCGAAAGCUAGGGGAGCAAACGGG